rnacentral:rRNA from 1 species
GUGGGGAAUAUUGGGCAAUGGGCGCAAGCCUGACCCAGCAAUGCCGCGUGGGUGAAGAAGGUCUUCGGAUUGUAAAGCCCUUUCGGCGGGGACGAUGAUGACGGUACCCGCAGAAGAAGCCCCGGCUAACUUCGUGCCAGCAGCCGCGGUAAUACGAAGGGGGCUAGCGUUGCUCGGAAUUACUGGGCGUAAAGGGCGCGUAGGUGGCCUUGUUAGUCAGGCGUGAAAUUCCUGGGCUCAACCUGGGGGCUGCGCUUGAUACGGCAGGGCUUGAGGGUGGAAGAGGCUCGUGGAAUUCCCAGUGUAGAGGUGAAAUUCGUAGAUAUUGGGAAGAACACCGGUGGCGAAGGCGGCGAGCUGGUCCAUACCUGACACUGAGGCGCGACAGCGUGGGGAGCAAACAGGAUUAGAAACCCUGGUAGUCC